UCCUUUGUGGCUUAGCUGGUAAAGAAUCCACCUGCAAUGUGGGAGACCUGGGUUCGAUCCCUGGAGAAGGGA
rnacentral:tRNA from 1 species